AUGCUGCGUCAUCGGCGACGUAACACACACACGCACAGGAAGCAGCUUCGGGUCAGUCGGGCUACCUGUGUUGACCAGGGCUUCAGCGCAGAGACAUGGCUCCUGGAAUUCAUUUGGGGUAAGUCAUUCUUUUCACUGAUUCUUUACUUUAAAAAGUACGUUGCUGUUGUGCCCCUGUGCUCUGACCUUGGUGCCCGUUGUCUCCUGUGCAGGACCUUCUUGCUGUUUUGUUUGGUUCAAGCAGAGCAUGUGUGCGGUUCGUGGGCUGCACAAGCCCAGAGACAAAACGGCAAAGCAUUUGUUGGCUUCUCGCAGCAGGACGUCGGCGCCGGCAGCUCUCCCCGGAAUCAAUUCAGACAGGCCUCCGUUUCCCUGGGCUCGGCCCCGAGCAGCAGCAGCAGCAGCAGCAGCAGCAGCAGCCGCAGCAUCAGCCGCCUCUUCAAUCCAGCGCCUGUCGGUAGCAGUGGCCGCACACAAACUGGGCCACAGCCGGCCCCCGGUGGCUACGCUCCAGUCAGGUCGUUGCAGGGCGGCUGGGUGUCCAAACCCAACUGGAGGCCCACCGACUCGAAGCUGGCGAGUGCUCAAGGUGUGCCCAAAAAGCAGUUGUCUGUACUUUCUACUUCUAUCGCCAGUGGAAGUUCUGUGAGUGUGCACACACUGAAAAAGAAAGCCCAUACCGAUGUGAGCGAGAGGAGAACUUGGCCAGGCGAGGGGGCGUCGGCCUCCCGCCACCAGUCUGCAGCACAGAAGCCUCCCAGUCGGUCUUCCAGCAUGUUGGGUGCGGGUGCUCCGGUGCCCCACAAUUCUGUAAAGAGGCGCACUUCGGCCACCGCCCCCGCCAGACGAGUGUCUUCACAGCGCAGAGCCAAGGAGUUUAGACAAGCUCAGAUCACAUCCCCUGAAAAUGAGAGAAAGGGAAACCCCAACUGGAGCAAGCUGUUUCCUGUGACGGGAGGAACUGCCCAAGGAAGCUAUAAGCCUACUUCCAACAUGGCCUCGAGUCUCGCAAGUUAUCCCCGGGCACCCUACAAACAAAACGCUGCCGUUUUUCAGCCACGCGGUCUCAGCCCACCCACAAGCCAGAGGUUUGGCUCCAGUGAGCAGACCCCCGGCAGUACGAGCUCUGUGCGAGCGGGAAGCUCCCCUCAGCGCUACGCCCCGACCAGGACCCUCAACAUCCCUUGGUCCUUCGGUGGCUCACCCAUCAAGCGGCUGAAAGGGUCAGUUGUCCAGAAGCCACAAGUGAAGCACACGGCUGCGUCUCACAACCUGCAGGGUCAAGGUGUUCAACAGAAGCCACAAGUGAAGCACUCGGCUGCGUCUCUCAACCUGCAGGGUCAAGGUGUUCAACAGAAGCCACAAGUGAGGCACACGGCUGCGUCUCUCAACCUGCAGGGUCAGGGUGUUCAACAGAAGCCACAAGUGAAGCACUCGGCUGCGUCUCUCAACCUGCAGGGUCAAGGUGUUCAACAGAAGCCACAAGUGAGGCACACGGCUGCGUCUCUCAACCUGCAGGGUCAAGGUGUUCACCCAGAGAGCAAAUGGCAGAGGAUCACCAGGCCGCGUCCAACUGCCUAACAGGUGCAGCAGAAGGACUUGUCCUUGUUUGUGUUUUUGAAAUAAAUUCUUAAUCCAAGUCUUGUCUCGACUUCAUGUGGCACUGCUCUCAAAGCCACAAAUGUCUUUGUGGCUGCACCAUAAAUGUAGACUUGGUGCCACCUAGUGUGUAAAAGGAUGCGAUGCAAAGAUGGCUCCAUCUGAACCAGAUCUGAAUCCCUGCAUUUCUAUUCAGACCUUUUUGAAAAUGCAACAACCAGGUCUCCCUCUCUCCAAAGAUCACCUGGGAAAUGUUACACUUGGGACAAAUGCAGGAACGUUUACAACUUGCUGAAUGUAAACUCUAAAACUUGGCCAAGGCUUUAUACUGCAAAAUACUUAAUAUGCUAGUUUAUAGAUGCUGAUUGUGGGGAAUACAUAUCAGAACACCCAUCUGUCAGUGUUCUUAUGGAAUGAUGACAAUAUCCAAUUGCCUGUUUAUCUCAGUGGUUGAACCCCUCCUCCCUGGCCUUAGUACUUCAGUUGUCCUAAGUAGAUCUCCUGACCUGUUUAAAUCUGUCUCUCCAGAACUUGGAUUCCUGGUAUUAACAUCCAUCCGGAGUAUUAAUUUGAAGUGCCAAUAGCAGUAAUAACAUGCUCUUGCCUAAUUAGCAAUAAAAUAUUAAACCUUUGGCCAAUAUGCAAAUUUGACACCUAGAUGUGGAAUUAAUGUAUGAUUUGGCAUAUUCCCUGUAAUCGACUGGGGGGGACAAUGACGCAGG
rnacentral:lncRNA from 1 species